UACGGAGGGGGCUAGCGUUGUUCGGAAUUACUGGGCGUAAAGCGCGCGUAGGCGGAUCUGCAAGUCGGGGGUGAAAUCCCGAGGCUCAACCUCGGAACUGCCUUCGAUACUGCGGGUCUCGAGUCCGGGAGAGGUGAGUGGAAUUCCUAGUGUAGAGGUGAAAUUCGUAGAUAUUAGGAAGAACACCAGUGGCGAAGGCGGCUCACUGGCCCGGUACUGACGCUGAGGCGCGAAGGCGUGGGGAGCGAACGGG
rnacentral:rRNA from 1 species